GACGAACGCUGGCGGCGUGCUUAACACAUGCAAGUCGAACGGAAAGGCCCUGCUCUUGUGGGGUGCUCGAGUGGCGAACGGGUGAGUAAAACGUGAGUAAACUGCCCUUGACUUUGGGAUAACUUCAGGAAACUGGGGAUAAUAUCGGAUAGGAGCUCCUGCUGCAUGGUGGGGGUUGGAAAGUUUCGGCGGUUGGGGAUGGACUCGCGGCUUAUCCGCUUGUUGGUGAGGUAGUGGCUUACCAAGGCUUUGACGGGUAGCCGGCCUGAGAGGGUGACCGGCCACAUUGGGACUGAGAUACGGCCCAGACUCCUACGGGAGGCAGCAGUGGAGAGUAUUGCGCAAUGGGCGGAAGCCUGAUGCAGCGGCGCCGCGUGCGUAAUGACGGCCUUCGGGUUAUAAACCGCUUUCGCCUGUGACGAAGCGUUAGUGACGGUAAUGGGUAAGGAAGCACCGGCUAACUACGUG
rnacentral:rRNA from 1 species